rnacentral:rRNA from 1 species
UACGUAGGGUGCAAGCGUUGUCCGGAAUUAUUGGGCGUAAAGAGCUCGUAGGCGGCUUGUCGCGUCGGCUGUGAAAACCUGGGGCUUAACCCUGGGCUUGCAGUGGAUACGGGCAGACUAGAGGCAGGUAGGGGAGAAUGGAAUUCCCGGUGUAGCGGUGAAAUGCGCAGAUAUCGGGAGGAACACCGGUGGCGAAGGCGGUUCUCUGGGCCUGACCUGACGCUGAGGAGCGAAAGCGUGGGGAGCGAACAGG